rnacentral:rRNA from 1 species
GAUGAACGCUGGCGGCGUGCCUAAUACAUGCAAGUCGAGCGAACAGACGAGGAGCUUGCUCCUCUGACGUUAGCGGCGGACGGGUGAGUAACACGUGGAUAACCUACCUAUAAGACUGGGAUAACUUCGGGAAACCGGAGCUAAUACCGGAUAAUAUAUUGAACCGCAUGGUUCAAUAGUGAAAGACGGUUUUGCUGUCACUUAUAGAUGGAUCCGCGCCGCAUUAGCUAGUUGGUAAGGUAACGGCUUACCAAGGCAACGAUGCGUAGCCGACCUGAGAGGGUGAUGGGCCACACUGGAACUGAGACAGGGUCAAGACGCCUACGGGAGGCAGCAGUAGGGAAUCUUCCGCAAUGGGCGAAAGCCUGACGGAGCAACGCCGCGUGAGUGAUGAAGGUCUUCGGAUCGUAAAACUCUGUUAUUAGGGAAGAACAAAUGUGUAAGUAACUAUGCACGUCUUGACGGUACCUAAUCAGAAAGCCACGGCUAACUACGUG